UCAUCAUCAUUGUUUUUUAAUCGCGAGCAGUAUGGAGGAGGUGCUCAAGUGAGCGUAGCAAGUCGGGCAAGCCGCCCUGUCUGUCUGCAGCUGUGCGCUACGAAUGUCGAGAUGGUUGGCUGAGCUUGCGACAAAUCUGAAUUGGAUUAACUAUUGCUCACACGGGUCCGCGGAAGCUGACUGUGUUUAUCCCUGUCGCUCUAUAAGCGCUGCGAGUGUGCUGCCGUCGUCUGCACAACAGCGCGCGCACGGCUGCCUGGUGCUGUGACAGGCCAUUGCAAGCGUAAACAGCCUGAUAUGCAACUCACGUUUUUGCAGCGGCAUAAGUAGCAGCAAUGUCAAAAAAUGCUAAGGAUAAGGAGAAGCCCCUAGAGAGGUUCAAGUCGUUGUUCGGGCUUGGCAAAGCGUCUUUGCCAGCGGUGCCGCGGCUGGAAGAGCAUGCCAUCGACCUCGAAGUAUUAAAGGAACUGGGCAAGGACUGUCCCGUGGCUCAGCGCCUAAAGGUCAUCAAGGAUCUCACGGAGGUGGUGCGCACCCGGAGACUAGCCCAGGGAGGGGCAGAGAGCCUGUAUAGCCUGACUUGUGACCUGCUGCACCCAGCUCAUGGCACUGAGGUGCGCCAUGCAGUGCUCAACUUCUACUGUACCUUGGUUCGAGCGCAGAUGUGCUUCUUUACUUGCCCCACCUUGCGGGACCCGUUGGACAUCAUAAGGGCCCACUGCUUCAACCUCGUGCUGGAUCUGUCACUACCGGAGGACUUGCCCCUAAGGCUGGAGCUAGUGCGGGCACUGACAGACAAUGGCAAGUGCUUGAACCUUUUCGAGGAGCAGGCCGGCACAUUUCUGGUCAAGUGGAUGCCGGAGGUGCUGAGCGCUGGUAGGGCACAAGAGCUACUGCCACUGCUUGUGAAUGUGGUGCGUUUCAACUCAUCGUUCCUAGACCGGACCACCAUCAUGGGAUUUGUACAGAACACAUGCAUCCUGUGCUGCCGCACCAAUUUGGAGCUUGAUGUUCAGUUGGGUUUGGAGCUGCUGGACAGCGUGGUGGGCUAUGGUAUGGUGAGUGCAGAUCUGCUGGGCCACCUGGUGCCCACGGCGUGCCGCACAGUGGUGGUGGCACCCUUCUCGGAGCCUAGUUGGCGACUCAUGCGCAAUCUGCUGGGUACCCAUCUGGGACACCGCACGAUUGGCUACCUCUGCCGCUUGCUCGAGGAUAGGUCCAAUGUGUGUGACACGACUCUGCUCAAGGGGGCGGUGUUCUUCGUGGGUGCUGCCUUGUGGAGCCCAAAGGCAGUGGGCUCAUUGCAGCAUACUGCGGCGGGAGUGCUCCCAUCGUUGGGGCGAGCCCUAGAGAGCGGCAAUGCUCAUCCAUCUGUUGCCUACGAAGCAGCUGUGUGCCUGCAGUGGCUGCUGGGCGAGGGCGCACCCCCGCUUGGACCAGUCGCCUGGGACGCCAUACUGAACCUGCUGUCCACUCUUCUCACCUUCCCACAGGGCCAACCUAGUGGACGGCAGCUGCAGCAAAUGGCUCAUGAGCUGCUGACACGUGUGGAGCUGUCAUAUGACCAGGGCACAUUCGAGGGCAGUGCCACGCACCUCUUUGAGCUGGUUGACCAGGCUGCACAACUUCGUCCCGAAACAUCGCUGCUGCGUCUGGUGGAGUUUCGAACACGGCAGGCGGAGCUGUGCCCACUGCGUUGGGCAAGCCAGAUGGCAGAACUCCUAGAGCGAUUCUUGGAUCCCGUCAUGGCAACACCAGCUGUGCAGCUGCGCCUGCUUGAUCUUCUUGCCAGCCAUCGACAUCUCUGCCAGGCGGAUGAGUUGGUGGAGAAAGUGCUGUUGCCACAUGUGUCUCCACUCGAGACGGACCCUGCCGUGGCGGCCCGCGCUGUGCGCCUUCUAGCUGAUGUACUGCUGCGGGAUGACCUGUCCAGCCAGCACACAGCUGACCUGCUUGACCUGCUUCGAAAGGUGCUAAUGCGAGGUUGGCGGCCUGAGGAGCUGCUGGCGCUCGAGGCAGCUGUCGAGGGCCUCUGCCACCUCUUCCAGGCACAUGUGUGUGAUGGACAGCCCACAGUGGCAGUGUCGGUGCUGCAACUACUGUCUCAGCACCUGCACCAGCAAUGCCGGGACGGGAGCCCACCGGCUGAGCUGGCUCCGCUUCGGUUGCAGCUGGUUCAGACGUUGGUGGCACUGCGCACGAGCCCCCUCUAUCAGGUGGGCCUGUGCGAUACUGCCACGGGACAGGUGACCUUCAGCCGACAGCUCACCUGCACCUUCAGGGAAGGCUCUCCAUGUGCCAGCUCAGGAAGUUCAGCAAGUGUGCAGCAGCUCUGUUUCCGAGAGCCCCUGGAUGCCCUGCUGUGCUGCCUACGAGAGGAGACUGAUGGGUCUGUGCUGAGCACACUGCUUCGAGGGCUUCCAGGCCUGCUGCGGGAUCGGGCUGUGGUGUUAUGUGGGCAGCUUUCCCUGCGCCGUCUCUCCAGUUGGCUUAUCAGCCAUGUUGCUGACCGCAAGUUGCUAGACAAGGUGCGCACUGCUGGUGGGGAGGCUCUGCUCUAUCCAGUGGCCAGUGCACUGGUGUUAUACCGAGCAGAGUUGGAUGCUCAGUCACCACUUUUGCUGCUGCAUGUGCUAGAGUCUGGGCUUGGCUGCAAGCCGGCAGCAGCAUUGUGCCUGCGGGCACUUGCCCUGGCAGCCCUGGAGCUGCGACCAGCCACGGCCAAGAUACUGCCUGAGCUGCUGCAGCGGCUUGCUCAGCUGUCGCCCACUGUGGCAGUAUCACUGCCUGUGCUCGAGUUCCUCGCCUGCCUAAUCCGUGUGCCCCAGCUCUACGCCAGUUUUGUGGCUGCCGAGUAUCGAAAGGUGUUUGCCAUUGCCCUGCCAUACACCAAUCCAGCAAGAUUCAGUGAAGUAGUGGUGGCCCUGGCCCACCACUUGGUGGCGUUAUGGUUCCUCAAGUGCCGCGUUGAAUUCCGCAAGGACCUUGCACCUUUCAUUAUGAAGAACCUGCGUGCUCAGCUUGAGCUCGGAGAAGAGGAGAGGCGAGACCCUACAGUGGUGAAGCUGCAGGAGGAGUUGCUGGCCACCCUGGGGGACCUCGUGGCCCAGUGCAGCUUUGGCAGCUGCGGAGCACAGCCACGGCGCUCGGGUGCGGCAAUGUUUCUGUUAGAGCAAGGCCGUGCACAAAGCUGGCUGCUGCCCGGACACCGACUGGUCACCAUCACUACCAGCGGCUGUGCAGGCCGUCCAGCACGUCUAAGCCUCUGUGAUCGUUGUGCCCUCUUCUGUCAGGAACCAGCACUUAUGCAUGGAGCGGAGAUGAGCAUGCAGCAGCAGCAUCAACAGAACCCCCUGCAGCAACAGCAGCAGCAGCGACGACGACAUCAGUCGGAAGCUGCGGGUCGUGCAUCGGGGUUGCGUCACCCGCCAGCAACUCAAGAUGACCUCAGCCUUGAGCGUCGCGGAGCUGGUGGUCGAGCAGGGUUGGUGCUACGUCACGUGUGUGGUUGCUGGUGCUGUGGCUGGGCUGAGGUGCUGGUGCGACGGCCCACAGGCAACAGUGCCUGGCUGCUACGUCUGCAGAAUGAUCUGUUUCCCCGUGCGGCCACCAGCACUGAUUUUCCUCUGCCAGAUGUGGCAGCCAUCUUUCGUUGUCACCUAGUGGACACCAAUGAUGAGGCAGUGAGUCAUGCCGCCAGUGUUAGUGAGCGGUCUCCAUUGCGUCGCACCAACUCAAGUCCUGAGGUACCUGCACAGGACUUGCCUCGGUGUGAACGGUAUGACAGCAUUCCGGAAGAAAGCCAGCCACUACGUCCACCAGCAGACUGGGACAGCAGGAGCCACUCUGCUAGGAGAAGCCUCGAAGGCUGGUCCCAGGCAGCAGUGCCUCCCGCUAGCUGCUACCGGGACAGGGGCCACACUGUGUCUGGAGCGAGCCCAGCUUCGGACAGUGGAGCCACUGCGACCACCGCCUAUGUGGACCUCUACCGUUCUGGCAUGAAUCCCAGGUUUGUCUUCCUGCACCUGUUUCGGAGUCUUGGCCAAGCAGAGCGGGCCCUGCCACUUCCAGAAUCAGAUGUGGAACGAUCUGUGGGCGUGUUUGACCACAUUCUGACCUACGAGACCCACAGGAUGGGCCUCCUGUAUGUCGGACCAGGCCAGUCAGGCCAGGAGCAGUGCAUCCUGUCCAACACGCACGGGUCUGUGCGCUACACUAUGCUGCUACGGGGGCUUGGCUCGCUGGUGCGCCUGUCGGAGCUGGACCCUCGGCGUACUUACUUGGGUGGCCUGGCUUGCACGGGCGAGGACGGCAGCCAUUGCCUCUGCUGGCAGGAUGACGUCACCCAGGGCCUCUUGCUUACAAGCCACAUUGCGACCCGUGGUAUCUUCCUUCUGCUUCUCAUGAGCUUCACGCUUCUGAACUGCUUUUGGUGUUUCACGUGGCCACACUGAUGCCUAAUGUAGAAAACGAUCGGCACCGAGGCAACAAGAAACGCCACAUUGGCAAUGACUACGUGCACAUUGUGUACAAUGAGAGCAGUGAGCCCUAUGACCUGGCCACCAUUCGGGGGGACUGCCACUGUGUGUGCGUUGUUGUGGAACCGCUCAAGCUGGGCCACAACUUGGUGUCUCUUGUGGGCAAACCUGAGGUCCUGGAAUUGCUGCGGCCACCACCUGAGCCACAGCUGGUGCCUGACAGCAGCUUGGC
rnacentral:misc_RNA from 1 species